AUUGAACGCUGGCGGCAUGCCUUACACAUGCCAGUCGAACGGCAGCACGGGUGCUUGCACCUGGUGGCGAGUGGCGAACGGGUGAGUAAUACAUCGGAACAUGUCCUGUAGUGGGGGAUAGCCCGGCGAAAGCCGGAUUAAUACCGCAUACGAUCUACGGAUGAAAGCGGGGGACCUUCGGGCCUCGCGCUAUAGGGUUGGCCGAUGGCUGAUUAGCUAGUUGGUGGGGGUAAAGGCCUACCAAGGCGACGAUCAGUAGCUGGUCUGAGAGGACGACCAGCCACACUGGGACUGAGACACGGCCCAGACUCCUACGGGAGGCAGCAGUGGGGAAUUUUGGACAAUGGGCGAAAGCCUGAUCCAGCAAUGCCGCGUGUGUGAAGAAGGCCUUCGGGUUGUAAAGCACUUUUGUCCGGAAAGAAAUCCUUGGCCCUAAUACGGUCGGGGGAUGACGGUACCGGAAGAAUAAGCACCGGCUAACUACGUG
rnacentral:rRNA from 1 species